AUUGAACGCUGGCGGCAGGCCUAACACAUGCAAGUCGAGCGAGAGGCGGACGGGUGAGGAAUGUAUGGGGACUGCCCGAUAGAGGGGGAUAACUACUGGAAACGGUAGCUAAGAACGCAUACUAUCGGAUAACCCAUAUGGGAUUAGCUAGUAGGUGGGGUAAAGGCUCACCCAGGAGCCGAUCUCGAGCUGGUCUGAGAGGAUGAUCAGCCACACUGGGACUGAGACACGGCCCAGACUCCUACGGAGGCAGCAGUGGGGAAUAUUGCACAAUGGGCGCAAGCCUGAUGCAGCCAUGCCGCGUGUAUGAAGAAGGCCUUAGGGUUGUAAAGUACUUUCAGUGGGGAGGCGUUACCCGCAGAAGAAGCACCGGCUAACUCCGUGCCAGCAGCCGCGGUAAUAC
rnacentral:rRNA from 1 species